rnacentral:tRNA from 3 species
GCCGGCGUAGCUCAAUCGGCAGAGCACUCGCCUUGUAAGCGAAAGGUCCGGGGUUCGAUUCCCCGCGCCGGCUCCA